AUUAGGAUGCUGAUUUUCUGGGUGAGAAAACUGAGGCACAGAAAUGUAAAGUAACUUUCCAAUGCUACCAUUAGCAGAAGAUAGAACCAGACUCGAGCAAUUUAUCCCUAGAAGAGGCUUAAAUCAUUCUGAGAAAUGAAGCCAGCUGGACUUCCCAGGUUGAGUGGGGACUUGGCGAAGUUCUCUGUCUAGCUAAAGGAUUGUAAAUGCACCAGUCAGCACUCUGUAUAAAUGGACCAAUCAACACUCUGUAAAAUGGACCAAUCAGCACUCUGUGAAAUGGACCAGUCAGCGCUCUGUAAAAUGGACCAAUCAGCAGGACGUGGGCAGGGACAAAUAAGGGGCUAAAAGCCGGCCACGCCAUCCCGCAGCGGCAGCGGCCGCCAGCUGGGGUCCGGUUCUGCGUUGUGGGAACUGUUCUUUCACUCUUCACAGUAAAUCUUACUGCUGCUCACUGUUUGGGUCAGCAUCACCUUUAAGAGCUGUAACACUUGCCGCUAAGGUCUGCGGCUGCAUUCUUGAAGUCAGUGAGACCAUGAAGCCACCAGAAGGAAGAAACUCUGGACUUAACACUCACCACGGAGGUCGGCGGUUUCAUUCUUGAAGUCAGUGACACCAAGAACUCACCAGAAGGAACCAAGUCCGGACAUACUUUAACCACAUGUCCAAUAAUCUGUGUGAUUAAAAAGUCUCAACACCUUGGCCCUGCCCCAGAACAAUUUCUGAAGAUGAGGCUCAGGCAUUGCUGUGUUUUAAAAGCUUCUCAGACGACUCUAAUGAACGGCCAUGAUUGGGAUGUGAUCUAUAAGAUUGGAAGAGAGUGACCUGAAAAGGGGACUUAACCAGUGCCAGCAAGCACUCAGAUUACUGGCUCCAGGAUUUUUCACAGGGAAAGAGGCAGUCAGUCACAAGAACAGAAAACUCUGAAGAUAUCCUCAAAAGAUCUGUCUUUAUUUGAUACAAAAUGAGAAGUUCAAGGCCAAAAAUUAUCUAAUGGAGAAAUUUGGUAACAAGCAAAUUAGAAAAGACUGGUAGUUCUUGC
rnacentral:lncRNA from 1 species